rnacentral:rRNA from 10 species
AAUAGCAGCCAGACCAUUAGCAACCCUGCCUUAGAUGAAUCUGUGUGUGGGCUUGGUUAGUACUAGAUGGGAGACCAACUGGGAACACUGAGUUGCUGCUGGAA